rnacentral:lncRNA from 1 species
AAAAGUUGGAGUGAAAAAUGUUUAAAAAUGAUUAAAAAUUAAAUGAAAAAUUAAAAUUAAAUGAAAAAUAGAAGAAAAUGUGAAUUAAAUGUAAAAUGAGUUUUAAAAAUUAUGAAAAUAUUAUAUAUGGUAGAAAAUAUUUUUAUGAAAUUAUGAAAAAAAGUUAAAAAAUAAUAAAUGAGCUAUUUAAAAUGAAUUCUGAUUGAAAAAGAAAUUAAAUGGAUUAAA